UGCGGAGGGCCGGCCCCACGUGGGGGGUGGGGAGGGAUGCCCGCUCCGCCCAGUCCCCUCAGCGCCGGGCCUCGUCUCAGCCCGCCACGGAGUGGGCGGGACGCCAGGCAGGCGGGGGACGCGGCGGCUGCCAGCCAAGGGGCCGGAGCCAAGAGAUUUGCCUUGGAAGCGCCAUCCUCUUGCGCGUCUGAUGAGGAAGCAGAACCCGGUGACCGACUGAGCUGCAUUUCUGAAGCAUUUGCUGGGUUUUGCCUCGCUGAGCCUCGGGGAGCACUGGGGCGCGGGAUGGGGGACCCUGUCACGGAGCCGACACCUGCUCGCGAGCCCCUCCCCCGCUCACGCCGUGCCGCGGGCUCGCCCUCCCCAUCUGCAGUGCCCGCAGCGCCUGCCCGCCCCGCCCAUCCUUCCUCCUGGGCAACCGAGAGGAUGGCGUGAGGACUCCUGGAAGCCCCAGGGGCGUGGUAGGGAGCCGUAGACCCGAGUUUUUAUCGUCGUCUGGCGCCGACACUCGGCUGCAGAAUCGAGUUUGAGCUCGGUGUAGCUGAAGUUUAAAUUGUAGCUGUUUCAAAGAUGCCUUGGGAGUCUGAGGAACCCCAGAUUCAGCACCCCUGCUUAACCUGCUUUUAAGAAGAAAAAAAUGGAACUUGGUAAACUUCACUCAAAGGAGAGACCCACUAAUACCUCCACCUACCUCACACCCAGUGAAGGUCUGGCUGUCCCUCUUUCUUCAUCUGUUCAGGCUGCUGUAACAAAAUGCUGACGCUGAGAGAAUGCAUGUGUGCUCCAGGCAAUGACUGGAUGAAACAAAAAAGAGAGUCUAGAUACCAUUAAAGUGUUCGACUCUUGGAUUCCUACGGUUUGGGAUGCGAAGCAGAACUGGGUGAAACUGUAGUCUUAGCACGGGUGCAGCCUGAUGGAAAGAAGCCGGGACAGGCCAGGGGAGAAGGGUGCAGGAAAGAGAGUGGACAAUGGUAGAACAAAGACCUGGAGCAGGCCAUAUGGAAUGGGAUGGAAUGCAGAGCCCACGGUGCAGCUUUGUGCAUCAGCCUGGAGGAUGACAGUUGAGACAAUUCAUGCCUGGUAAGCUCUCUUCUCUGUGAAGUGGGAAGCGUGCUCAGUCCUGAAGGGACUGGGCCAGGGAAAGGGUGAAUUGCCCAGGGAAUUGGGGCGGGGUCUACGGGACUGAGCAAGCAGUUGCUACUGGAAACCAUAUGUUGGUGGCAGUUCCGGGUAUCUUGCCUGGGCAUUUUCUCCAGCAAUGAGACUACCAUGGAUGCCCCAUUCUACCAGCCGGGCUCCUCCUCCCAGCCUCCUGGGACCCAGCCCCUGCCUAUCUAUCCACUGCCCCUUCAAGAAAGUGUGCCAUGCCAGGCAGGGUGUGUGUGUGUGUAUGUGUGUGUGUCAACACCUGUCAACACCCCAUUGCCUGAAAUGAGUCCAGCCUCGUUUGAAAGUUCUCAUCACGUUAACCCAAAACCCACUUCCCAGGCAGUCUGUGUUUUGGAGUCCUGAUAACUUCCACAAAGCUGUUUUAAUUCUACCUUCCAAAAUCAGACCAAUCUAGGUUUGAAUCCUAUUUCUGCCCCUCAUUAACUCUCUGUCCCUGAGCAGAGUUUUCCAUAACUGUUUUCCAGUUUCCUCAACUGUAAAAUCAGAAUAAUAAUACCAUCUUAUGAGGUCAUUGAAGGAUUAAAUGAGAAGGCGUGUGAAGCAUUUUGUACAAUGUCUGGCUUAUAGUGUGAGAUCAAUGCACGAUCACCAUAAUAACAAAAAAUUAGAGAUGAUCCCUAAUGUUAAUCUUAUUAAGGUUAACAAUAAUUAUAAUCACAGUUCUGCAAAUAUCUGAUGUCCGUGAUGUUGCCAUGAAACUCUGUUUUCUAGUUUAAAAGUCUCCAGUUCUUUUGACAUUUUCUGCUGGGGAAGUUUUCAAACAGCAGCUCUGUUGGAGGGAAGUGGGUCCCACGUCUCUGGAGGAAUGCAAGCAGAAAAUGGAAGGUCACUCGGCAGGGAUGGGACUGCAACUUGUGAUUGAGGCUCCAGCUGGCAAAUCCUAGGGUCCCUUCCCAGCCCUAUGUCCUUCCAACCUUCUGACUUAAAAACAAGGUCAGAAAAUGAAGUGUGCACUAAAUGCUACUCAGUAUCAUAAUAGUUAUCACUGUCGAGGCCAGGGUUUUAAUAGAAACGUCUAUCUUCUAAACUCUAAAAUUAAUGGAGAGUGGUCUCAUUAAUCUACAAAACCUCAACAGCAUCAUACUUGAU